GCGACCCCGGGUGCAGGUGCCGACCGCCUGGUGGCUUCCUGCACUCCCGCCCCGCUGCAGCUUCUCCGCCCGCCGAGCUCCUGAUGCGCCGACGUGGGCGGAGGAGGGAGAAGGGACGCGGCUCGGCCGCAGCGCGGCGUGGCCCCGCGCCUCCACCCCUCGGGCGCCUGUGCUCACGCCGGUCGCUGGCCCCGGCGCCUCGGGAGUUGGGCAGGGUCUCUGCGGGCAGCGACACUGCGUUGUGCUGGGUUUGGGGUGGUGGAAUGCUUGCACUGCCUGGAGAGGGUGCAGGAGAGGCCUGUGAGGGCCUUCGCCAGAGCUCCCACCUCGAGUGCGCUAAGCUUUUUGAGGGUUCCAUAGGCUACGUUUGGGGACUGCCCUCCCAGGUUGAAGCUCCAGCACUCGCGGGAUAUCCCUGUCCUUUCUGGAAACGAGUACCUAAGGACCAGGAUGGGUUCCUAACUCCAGCGCUGAGUUUCAGGUAGUUCAUGACACAGGAGAGUGAAAACUACACCGCUUGGAGGAAAAGCCAUAAAGGGAAGGAGUCUAGACAACAGCAUACUCUUUCAAUAAGCCUUCCAGGACACUCAGCACAGCGCCUUACACACGACCUCUAAUCACUUCCUGACAAUGUCCUGGGAUGUCUCGUGGAGCAGAAAUCUGCCUUGCCACUGGCCUUGCUCGGAGAUGCAGAGGAGAUUUCUGCCCUGGGAGGACGUUGCACCAGAGGGACCUCUUAGACACUUUUCUUCCUUAACCACAGUGUAGAGGUGAACACACUCAUUGCUAUUCAUUACAUACUUUUUUUUUUCCCAGCAGAAUUUAACAUUAUUUUACCUUUAAACAUUAUUUUAACUU